CAGUGUUCAGCUCAUUUAGAAUUAAUUUAUCUGGCAGGUUUUCUGAUUUUUACCAGAAAUUCCCCA
ensembl:snRNA U7 U7 small nuclear RNA